rnacentral:sRNA from 1 species
AUUUUAUUUUUCUUAUAUCUAACACGCGUCAGAAAAGAUAACUGUUGUCAAUAUAUUU